rnacentral:tRNA from 1 species
ACAUCAGUAGCACAGUAGUCAGUGCAGUCUACCGGGAACAGAAGUACGCGGGUUCAAUUCUCGCCCAAUGUC